rnacentral:piRNA from 1 species
UGAUUUUUUUUCAGUAUGUGUGGCCCCUU